AGCCCUUGAAUCCCAAACACCACAGGUGAACCCACCGUAGGCCUUCGGGCCUAUGUCUUAUCAUAUAAUCUGAAUGUCUAAUAGAAUGUAAACCCAUUUCGUUGCCUUGAAAACGUAACGAAAGAAAACUAUACAACUUUCAACAACGGAUCUCUUGGCUCUCGCAUCGAUGAAGAACGCAGCGAAAUGCGAUAAGUAAUGUGAAUUGCAGAUUUUCAGUGAAUCAUCGAAUCUUUGAACGCACCUUGCGCCCCUUGGUAUUCCGAGGGGCAUGCCUGUUUGAGUGUCAUUAAAUCCUCAACCCCUCCGAUUCGUUUCGGUGGGGAUUGGACUUGGAGCGUGCUGGCGAAGGUCGGCUCCUCUUUAAAUGCAUCAGCGGAGAAAAUGCCUUUUGCGCCUCUGGCCGUUCAGCGUGAUAAUGAUGUUGCGCUGCGGUCGAGCUUAAGGUCCGCUUCCAAAGGUCCUCGGACAAAUAUACAUAUGACUUUUGACCUCAAAUCACGUAGGACUACCCGCUGAACUUAAGCAUA
rnacentral:rRNA from 1 species